UCUGGACUUCAGGAGACAGCU
rnacentral:miRNA from 1 species